GACGAACGCUGGCGGCGCGCUUUAUACAUGCAAGUCGAACGAGAAGCCAGAGCUUGCUCUGGUGGAAAGUGGCGAACGGGUGAGUAACACGUGAGAAACCUGCCCCAAAGACUGGGAUAAGCCGAGGAAACUUGGUCUAAUACCGGAUACCUUCUUUUAUCACAUGUUAAAAAGAAGAAAUGCUCCGGCGCUUUGGGAUGGUCUCGCGACCUAUCAGCUUGUUGGUGAGGUAAAAGCUCACCAAGGCAUCGACGGGUAGCUGGUCUGAGAGGAUGUCCAGCCACAUUGGGACUGAGAUACGGCCCAAACUCCUACGGGAGGCAGCAGUAGGGAAUCUUGCACAAUGAGGGAAACCUUGAUGCAGCGACGCCGCGUGCGGGACGAAGGCCCUAGGGUUGUAAACCGCUUUCAGUAGGGACGAAAGUGACGGUACCUAUAGAAGAAGCCCCGGCCAACUAUGUGCCAGCAGCCGCGGUAAU
rnacentral:rRNA from 1 species